GUGAGGAAUUUUCCGCAAUGGGCGAAAGCCUGACGGAGCAAUGCCGCGUGAAGGAUGAAGGCCUAUGGGUUGUAAACUUCUUUUCUCAGAAAAGAAUUAUGACGGUAUCUGAGGAAUAAGCAUCGGCUAACUCUGUGCCAGCAGCCGCGGUAAGACAGAGGAUGCAAGCGUUAUCCGGAAUGAUUGGGCGUAAAGCGUCUGUAGGUUGUUUAAAAAGUAUUCUGUCAAAGAUUAGGGCUUAACCCUAGAUAGGCAGAAUAAACUUUUAAGCUAGAGGUUGGUAGAGGCAGAGGGAAUUCCCGGUGGAGCGGUGAAAUGCGUAGAUAUCGGGAGGAACACCAAAGGCGAAGGCACUCUGCUGGGCCAAUACUAACACUGAGAGACGAAAGCGAGGGGAGCAAAUGGGAUUAGAAACCCGAGUAGUCC
rnacentral:rRNA from 1 species